AGUGAACGCUGGCGGCAUGCCUAACACAUGCAAGUCGAACGGAAAGACAGUAAGAGCUUUCCUCUACGGGUGGAGAGGGGAGGGAGAGUGAGGAAUACAUCGGAACCCUCUUUGUCGAGGGUGGUAAAGUGGGGCAAAUACCGCUAAUGACCCAUAUGAAGUACGGGUGGAAGCAAGGGUUCUUGGGGUCUUGUGCGCUCGAAGCCGAUGAUGUGGGUUUUGCUAGUAGGGGGGGUAAAGGCCCCCCAUGGCGACGAUACGUAGCCGGUCUGCGAGGAUGAACCGCCACACUGGGACUGGGACACGGUCCAGACUCCUACGGGAGGCGGCAGUGGGGAAUAGUGGACGAUGGGCGCAAGCCUGAUCCAGCCAUACCGCGUUGAUGAAGAAGGCCUUCGGGUUGUAAAACCCUUUUGUUGUGGAAGAAAAGUAGCGGGAUAAUCCCCCGCUGUUCUGACGGUACCCAAAGAAUAAGCACCGGCUAACUACGUG
rnacentral:rRNA from 1 species